CAUAGCGACUAUCGUGGCAUAUCAAUAAGCGGAGGAAAAGAAACUAACAAGGAUUCCCUAGUAACGGCGAGUGAAGCGGGAAGAGCUCAAAUUUGAAAUCUUAAAGGUUUUACCUUUGACGAAUUGUAGUUUAAAGAAGUGUUUUCUGUUGGAGUUUCGGUAAACGUUCUUUGGAAUAGGACAUCAUAGAGGGUGAGAAUCCCGUAUUUGACCAUUACUUUCCAGCUGUGUGAUACACUUUCAAAGAGUCGGAUUGUUUGGGAAUGCAGUCCAAAAUGGGUGGUAAAUUUCAUCUAAAGCUAAAUAUUGGCGAGAGACCGAUAGCGAACAAGUACCGUGAGGGAAAGAUGAAAAGAACUUUGAAAAGAGAGUUAAACAGUACGUGAAAUUGUCAAAAGGGAAGCGUUUGACACCAGUGUUGUUUUUCCGAAAAUCAAUUACGAAUGUCUUGUUUUUGAGAAGUUAUGACUUCAUCGGCUUGCUUCUCUCUUUACGAAACUUUCUUAAUGCACUUUUCGGUUAACAAGUCAACAUCAAUUUCUUUUGUUGUAAAAGGGUAUGAGGAAGGUGGCUUUCUUUUCGGAGAAAGUGUUUAUAGCCUUGUACCUCUGCAAUCGGAGAGAUUGAGGUCUGCAGCGUAGAUCCUUCGGGGUUAGAUACAUUUGUGCUAAGUUAUAGCUUUUCAUAGACAACUUGUUGACUAUAAUCAAUCCUGUAACUUACUCGCUUAUGCUAUUUUACCUACGCUUAGGAUGUUGACGAGACUGUCGAUCUC
rnacentral:rRNA from 1 species